AUUGAACGCUGGCGGCAGGCCUAACACAUGCAAGUCGAGCGGUAGAGAGAAGCUUGCUUCUCUUGAGAGCGGCGGACGGGUGAGUAAUGCCUAGGAAUCUGCCUGGUAGUGGGGGAUAACGUUCGGAAACGAACGCUAAUACCGCAUACGUCCUACGGGAGAAAGCAGGGGACCUUCGGGCCUUGCGCUAUCAGAUGAGCCUAGGUCGGAUUAGCUAGUUGGUGAGGUAAUGGCUCACCAAGGCGACGAUCCGUAACUGGUCUGAGAGGAUGAUCAGUCACACUGGAACUGAGACACGGUCCAGACUCCUACGGGAGGCAGCAGUGGGAAUAUUGGACAAUGGGCGAAAGCCUGAUCCAGCCAUGCCGCGUGUGUGAAGAAGGUCUUCGGAUUGUAAAGCACUUUAAGUUGGGAGGAAGGGUAGUAACCUAAUACGUUGCUACUUUGACGUUACCGACAGAAUAAGCACCGGCUAACUUCGU
rnacentral:rRNA from 1 species